UCGCAUCCUGGGGCUGUAGUCGGUCCCAAGGGUUGGGCUGUUCGCCCAUUAAAGCGGUACGCGAGCUGGGUUCAGAACGUCGUGAGACAGUUCGGUCCCUAUCCGUCGCGGGCGCAGGAAAUUUGAGAGGAGCUGUCCUUAGUACGAGAGGACCGGGAUGGACGCACCGCUGGUGUACCAGUUGUUCUGCCAAGGGCAUCGCUGGGUAGCUAUGUGCGGACGGGAUAAGUGCUGAAAGCAUCUAAGCAUGAAGCCCCCCUCAAGAUGAGAUUUCCCAUUCCGCAAGGAAGUAAGAUCCCUGAAAGAUGAUCAGGUUGAUAGGUCUGAGGUGGAAGCGUGGUGACACGUGGAGCUGACAGAUACUAAUAGAUCGAGGACUUAACCUAU
rnacentral:rRNA from 1 species